GCAUUUGCCAUGUGUCCACUAAA
rnacentral:snRNA from 1 species